UGAACGCUAGCUACAGGCUUACACAUGCAAGUCGAGGGGCAGCAUGGUCUUAGCUUGCUAAGGCCGAUGGCGACCGGCGCACGGGUGAGUAACACGUAUCCAACCUGCCGUCUACUCUUGGACAGCCUUCUGAAAGGAAGAUUAAUACAAGAUGGCAUCAUGAGUCCGCAUGUUCACAUGAUUAAAGGUAUUCCGGUAGACGAUGGGGAUGCGUUCCAUUAGAUAGUAGGCGGGGUAACGGCCCACCUAGUCUUCGAUGGAUAGGGGUUCUGAGAGGAAGGUCCCCCACAUUGGAACUGAGACACGGUCCAAACUCCUACGGGAGGCAGCAGUGAGGAAUAUUGGUCAAUGGGCGAGAGCCUGAACCAGCCAAGUAGCGUGAAGGAUGACUGCCCUAUGGGUUGUAAACUUCUUUUAUACGGGAAUAAAGUGAGGCACGUGUGCCUUUUUGUAUGUACCGUAUGAAUAAGGAUCGGCUAACUCCGUGCCAGCAGCCGCGGUAAUACGGAGGAUCCGAGCGUUAUCCGGAUUUAUUGGGUUUAAAGGGAGCGUAGGCGGACGCUUAAGUCAGUUGUGAAAGUUUGCGGCUCAACCGUAAAAUUGCAGUUGAUACUGGGUGUCUUGAGUACAGUAGAGGCAGGCGGAAUUCGUGGUGUAGCGGUGAAAUGCUUAGAUAUCACGAAGAACUCCGAUUGCGAAGGCAGCUUGCUGGACUGUAACUGACGCUGAUGCUCGAAAGUGUGGGU
rnacentral:rRNA from 1 species